rnacentral:rRNA from 1 species
UGGGGAAUAUUGGACAAUGGGCGCAAGCCUGAUCCAGCCAUGCCGCGUGUGUGAAGAAGGCCUUCGGGUUGUAAAGCACUUUCAGCGAGGAGGAAGGGAGUUGUGUUAAUAGCACAGCUCCUUGACGUUACUCGCAGAAGAAGCACCGGCUAACUCUGUGCCAGCAGCCGCGGUAAUACAGAGGGUGCAAGCGUUAAUCGGAAUUACUGGGCGUAAAGCGCACGUAGGCGGUUUUUAAGUCAGAUGUGAAAGCCCCGGGCUCAACCUGGGAAUUGCAUUUGAAACUGGAAAACUAGAGUGUGUGAGAGGGGGGUAGAAUUCCAAGUGUAGCGGUGAAAUGCGUAGAGAUUUGGAGGAAUACCAGUGGCGAAGGCGGCCCCCUGGCACAACACUGACGCUCAGGUGCGAAAGCGUGGGGAGCAAACAGGAUUAGAUACCCUAGUAGUCCCUGAGCGGGCUGGCAAGGCGCAU